AAAAGCGAUGAUACAAGUCAAGGGAUACCCCCCUCCCCCGCACAACAACAAGAAAGAAUAAAAAAGAAGGCGGGGACAGCAAAGAGGGACACAUAUAUCUCUUCCGCGCGGAAAGAAAGCGGCAAAAACGUACUAAUGCGCGAGAA
ensembl:ncRNA F09G8.11 ncRNA